GGCCGCUCCGCCAGCGCCGCCCCCUCCCGCCCGGCGCGGCCCGGCCCGGCCCCGCCGGCAGUUGCCGAGCGCUCGAAAAACAACAGGAGCCGCGGGGGCGCGGUGCGGCGCGGGGUCGGUGGCGGCCUCGGCCCCGGGGCAACCGGCUGGUCCCUGCGGCGAGGCUCGGGGAGGUGCGCGGCCCCGGCGAGGGGCGCUCUCCGUGCGCAGGAAGCCGCGGGCUGUUCCCGGGUUCUGUGGCUUGUCCGAAGCAGGCGCGAGUCUGCCUCAGACGCUGCCGGACGGCGGAGAAGCGCCCAGACGUGUCACCGAGCUGCCAGCAGCGGGGAGGCCUCACUGGCGAGUACCUAGAUCUGCUGAGUGAACGUUCUAGGCAAGGAAAUAGCCAGCUCGCAGUGACUGCCAGCUCCAGCUCAAGAGUGAAAGAGCAAGAACUGACUGUAAUUACUAGCUGCAAGCUAGUAAUAAAUGCCUGUCUUCCCUGCCUUCGAGGGAUUGAGGCUCUGCCAGCAAUUGAGGUAGAUGGCUUCUGCAGGAAGAAUGUAAACACUUUAUUGUCCUUCUUGAACCUUUUGUGACUCACAGUGAAAACCUGCCCUACAUAUACAACUCUUUCAACUGUGGAAGCUAAAGGAAUUUUGUAUUUCACAAGAGUGCUCAGCAUUUUGUGGGAACAGACUAUAAAUGAAUGCAGUGAAUUGUGAUACAUACAGUUUAAAUGUAAUAUAAAUUGGCUUGGCCUCAUUAACAUAUUUUAAUAAUGCAGUGUUGAAUUUUCCAAGAAAAGAAAGAAAAGAAAUGAUUCAGCUGACCCUGGGAAAUAUGCUUUUAUAUUAAAUUGGGAAAAUAAACCUGGAUUUCACAUUAUUAUGUUAUAUAAUAAUUAAAUCAGUUUAGUAUAAUAAAUAUGAUCUGGCUUGGGA